rnacentral:rRNA from 1 species
UAAUACGGAGGGGGCUAGCGUUGUUCGGAAUUACUGGGCGUAAAGCGCACGUAGGCGGACUGGAAAGUCAGAGGUGAAAUCCCAGGGCUCAACCUUGGAACUGCCUUUGAAACUAUCAGUCUGGAGUUCGAGAGAGGUGAGUGGAAUUCCGAGUGUAGAGGUGAAAUUCGUAGAUAUUCGGAGGAACACCAGUGGCGAAGGCGGCUCACUGGCUCGAUACUGACGCUGAGGUGCGAAAGCGUGGGGAGCAAACAGG